GAUGAACGCUGGCGGCGUGCCUAACACAUGCAAGUCGAGCGAACGGACGAGAAGCUUGCUUCUUUGAUGUUAGCGGCGGACGGGUGAGUAACACGUGGAUAACCUACUUCUAAGACUGGGAUAACUUCGGGAAACCGGAGCUAAUACCGGAUAAUAUUUUGAACCGCAUGGUUCAAAAGUGAAAGACGGUCUUGCUGUCACUUAUAGAUGGAUUCGCGCUGCAUUAGCUAGUUGGUAAGGUAACGGCUUACCAAGGCAACGAUGCAUAGCCGACCUGAGAGGGUGAUCGGCCACACUGGAACUGAGACACGGUCCAGACUCCUACGGGAGGCAGCAGUAGGGAAUCUUCCGCAAUGGGCGAAAGCCUGACGGAGCAACGCCGCGUGAGUGAUGAAGGUCUUCGGAUCGUAAAACUCUGUUAUUAGGGAAGAACAGAUGUGUAAGUAACUGUGCACAUCUUGACGGUACCUAAUCAGAAAGCCACGGCUAACUACGUG
rnacentral:rRNA from 1 species